rnacentral:piRNA from 1 species
UUGUACAGACCCUGUGGUGUGGCCUUCUU